GGUCUUAUUGAACAUUUUUAUGUAGACGAAUAUUUAAAAAAAUAAAUAAUACAUUUACAGAGCCUUUAGAAAGGUGCUUAAUAAAAAUAUGGCUUUUCUUGCAAAAAAAUAUUAUGAUUGUGAAUUAAUCAUUUUAAAAAUGAAUUAGUUGUUUAUAUCUGA